rnacentral:rRNA from 1 species
GAUGAACGCUGGCGGCGUGCCUAAUACAUGCGAGUCGAGCGAAGAGAUGAGGAGCUUGUUCCUCUGACGUUAGCGGCGGACGGGUGAGUAACACGUGGAUAACCUGCCUAUAAGACUGGGAUAACUUCGGGAAACCGGUGCUAAUACCGCAUAAUAUAUUUAACCGCAUGGUUCAAUAGUGAAAGACGCAUUUGCUGUCACUUAUAGAUGGAUCCGGGCCGAAUUAGUUAGUUGGUAAGGUAACGGCCUACCAAGGCAACGAUGCUUAGCCGACCUGAGAGGGUGAUCGGCCACACUGGAACUGAGACACGGUCAAGACUCCUACGGGAGGCAGCAGUAGGGAAUCUUGGGCAAUGGGCGAAAGCCUGACGGAGCAACGCCGCGUGAGUGAUGAAGGUCUUCGGAUCGUAAACCUCUGUUAUUAGGAAAGAACAAAUGUGUAAGUAAAUAUGCACGUAUUGACGGUACCUAAUCAGAAAGCCACGGCUAACUACGUG